GAAGUCUCUUUCUCACUAUUCUUUGUCUCUCAGAUAAGUUCAUAUACUUUUCCCCCUUUUCAACUAAGACCAUGACUAAGUUCAGAGGGUCUCACCACCUAAGUGUGCAGCAAUUGUUGGAUUGGGGAAAACUUCCUGCCCUCCUUCCUGAGAUCAGAGAGACGAGUUUUCAGGAAUCCCUCCCCAGGGUUUGCCUGUGUACUCUGUGCAUGGUGGAAGUGGAGAAGAGUGAUCCAGCUUCCUUCAGUGGGACCCUCCUCACCCAUCCUGAUGGGUAGAUACAAGAUGCCGCCAUAGGGGCUGCCCUCGGACAGAGCCAAGGAGAACAUUGACUCAUUCGUCGUGUGCAGACCUUUGCGGAAGAUGCCGAUGUGCUCAAGGCAUGCUCCCUCAUGUGAGGGGUGACAUCACUGCCUAAUUUACACUCAUGCCAGGCCUAAAUGACCUCAUCACAGAAAGGCGAUUGUCUUGGCUCCUACUACAUGGCACAAUUCUUUUCCUGAACAUUCCUGAUCAUACUCUGUGCACUCCCUCAUCCCUGCCUUUGUUAUUUCCCCCUACCCCUGGAACACAGUUUGACAAACAUCAAUUCCAUUUUCUUGUGAAGAGAUCCAACUUUAUUAUCCAGAAUGUGGACAUACGGUUGUCGCAGCACCAUUUAUUGAAAAGACUGUUCCACAUUGAAUAUUCUUGGCACCCUUGUUCAUAAUCAAUUAAUUACAAAUUUUUCUAGGGCUACCAUGAGAAAAC
rnacentral:lncRNA from 10 species